UAGACCUAAUGCAAACUUUAAACAACUCACAAACGCAUUAUAUCCGAUUAUCCAUGAUGAGAUGUUCAUUCUUAACGCGCUUCUUUCGUCUAUCUGAUACUUAUGCUAUCUUUAUACCCUUAAUCAUCUAUUAAAUCAAUCGGUCACCCUUAUAUCUCCAUUAUUCUUCGUUGCCCUUCAUACAAGCCUCAACAUUAAGCAAACCCCUUCUGUUCGCCAGAAUCAUUUCAAGCCUUCCUCUCGAAUAAAUUUCGGGACGAAAUUUCCUAAAGGAGGGGAGACUGUAAUGCCUCGUAUUUCCACAUUUAUAUUUUUAGGAAAUACAUGUUCGCUUUUAUUUAUUUAUCUAUUUAUUUAUUUAUUUACUUUAAUCGCCGUCGAAAUCUGAGCGAGAAACGACAACGACACACUUACGCGACUAAAAACGAUUACCGACACUAUUUUUUUUUACAUGUUUAUGACCCUAAAAUAGCAAAUUACUACAUUACGCGACGUCUGUAGCGAUAACGGGUCUCGUAGAGGGUCGCGGGUCACUUAAACAUAGCGUUUGGGCUUGUAGGCUUUGGGCCCAAGCCCAAAGCCCACUAACUAAAACCCUAUAUACAUAAUAUGUACACUUAUUAUCUGUUAUCUUGUUAGAAAACCCUAACUUUGUUUUAAAACAAUUCAGCCGCACGAUGACCAGACACACUCCCCUCAAAUACCAGCUCAUCCCCUUCCAUCUUCACCAUUUCAAAAUCACUGGCCCACUCUAACACUCACCCUGUCCCUAUCGAUCUAUCUCUGCUACACAAAAAUAAAGGUUUACACCUUCAACCUCAGCCAUACCCCUCUCCUACCUUUCUAUGAAGACCGGCCGACCACCGCUAGUGGUGGUGGCGUUUGGCGACUGCAACAGCGACGGGAGACGCCGCAGGCGGCGGUGGUCUUUCCCAGUGCCGAUUAACCAACGACAUCACGGCCCCCUCUCUCCGAUAAGCUCCAGCGACAGGACUAGAAUCCGCCGCGGCGGCAGACGAGCGGCGAUGGGCUUGGUCUUGUUGUUUCAGUUCCUGAUUUGGGUUUGUUUCGGGUCUUGCUCGGUUCAGGUUCUUGUUUGGGUCACGUCUCUCCGUCGCCGGCAUCGGUUUGGUUAGAGUUUUGUUUCGACUUCGGUUCGAGUUACGCCGGAUAACCUCCUCCGCUCCCACUGUUUCGGAUAAUCGCUCUCAUUCUCUUGGAUUUUUCCCAAUCUUACUCGUGUGUUACUUACAAGAAAUCGUAAUGCAACCAAUGUUGAUGAUGACGAUGCUAUGAAAUGAAGUAGCAAUGAUGCCUAGA